rnacentral:rRNA from 1 species
AGCGAACGCUGGCGGCAUGCCUAACACAUGCAAGUCGAGCGCUCCCAGCAAUGGGGGAGCGGCGGACGGGUGAGUAACGCGUAGGAACGUAUCCUGAGGUGGGGGAUAACCCUGGGAAACUAGGGCUAAUACCGCAUGAUGGCGAGAGCCCAAAGAUUUAUCGCCUUGGGAGCGGCCUGCGUCUGAUUAGCUGGUUGGUGGGGUAACGGCCUACCAAGGCGAUGAUCAGUAGCUGGUCUGAGAGGAUGAUCAGUCACACUGGGACUGAGACACGGCCCAGACUCCUACGGGAGGCAGCAGUGGGGAAUAUUGGACAAUGGGCGAAAGCCUGAUCCAGCAAUGCCGCGUGGAUGAAGAAGGUCUUCGGAUUGUAAAGUCCUUUCGGCGGGGACGAUGAUGACGGUACCCGCAGAAGAAGCCCCGGCUAACUUCGUG